GACGAACGCUGGCGGCGUGCUUAACACAUGCAAGUCGAACGGAAAGGCCCUGCUUUUGUGGGGUGCUCGAGUGGCGAACGGGUGAGUAACACGUGAGUAACCUGCCCUUGACUUUGGGAUAACUUCAGGAAACUGGGGCUAAUACCGGAUAGGAGCUCCUGCUGCAUGGUGGGGGUUGGAAAUUUUCGGCGGUUGGGGAUGGACGCGCGGCUUAUCAGCUUGUUGGUGGGGUAGUGACUUACCCAGGCUUCGACGGGUAGCCGGCCUGCGAGGGUGACCAGCGACAUUGGGCCUGCGAGACGGCCCAGACUCCUACGGGAGGCAGCAGUGGCGAAUAUUGCACAAUGGGCGGAAGCCUGAUGCAGCAACGCCGCGUGCGGGAUGACGGCCUUCGGGUUGUAAAACGCUUUAGCCUGUGACGACGCGUGAGUGACGGUAAUGAGUAAAGAAGCACCGGCUAACUACGUG
rnacentral:rRNA from 1 species